rnacentral:rRNA from 1 species
CGGUGCUAGUGGCAGACGGGUGAGUAACGCGUGGGAACGUGCCUUUCGGUUCGGAAUAAUCCAGGGAAACUUGGACUAAUACCGGAUACGCCCUUCGGGGGAAAGAUUUAUCGCCGAAAGAUCGGCCCGCGUCUGAUUAGCUAGUUGGUGAGGUAAAGGCUCACCAAGGCGACGAUCAGUAGCUGGUCUGAGAGGAUGAUCAGCCACAUUGGGACUGAGACACGGCCCAAACUCCUACGGGAGGCAGCAGUGGGGAAUAUUGGACAAUGGGCGCAAGCCUGAUCCAGCCAUGCCGCGUGAGUGAUGAAGGCCUUAGGGUUGUAAAGCUCUUUUGUCCGGGAAGAUAAUGACUGUACCGGAAGAAUAAGCCCCGGCUAACUUCGUGCCAGCAGCCGCGGUAAUACGAAGGGGGCUAGCGUUGCUCGGAAUCACUGGGCGUAAAGGGCGCGUAGGCGGACUUUUAAGUCGGAGGUGAAAGCCCAGGGCUCAACCCUGGAAUUGCCUUCGAUACUGGGAGUCUUGAGUUCGGAAGAGGUUGGUGGAACUGCGAGUGUAGAGGUGAAAUUCGUAGAUAUUCGCAAGAACACCGGUGGCGAAGGCGGCCAACUGGUCCGAAACUGACGCUGAGGCGCGAAAGCGUGGGGAGCAAACAGGAUUAGA